rnacentral:rRNA from 1 species
AAACCGCCGAGGGAUUGGAAUAUGUCCUAUUAGCUAGUUGGCGGGAUAAAAGCCCACCAAGGCAAUGAUAGGUAGCUGGUCUAAGAGGAUGAACAGCCACAAUGGGAUUGAGAUACGGCCCAUAUUCCUACGGGAAGCAGCAGUAGGGAAUCUUCCACAAUGGGCGAAAGUCUGAUGGAGCAAUGCCAUGUGAACGAUGAAGGCCAGACAGGUCGUAAAGUUCUUUUAGAGGGGAAAAAUCUGAUGGUACCCUCUGAAUAAGUGACAGCAAACUAUGUGCCAGCAGCUGCGGUAAUACAUAGGUCGCGAGCGUUAUUCGGAUUUAUUGGGCGUAAAGCAAGCGCAGGCGGAUGAAUAAGUUCUGCAUUAAAAGCAGCUGCUUAACAGUUGUUUGUGCCGAAUACUAUUCAUCUAGAAUGUGGUAGAAAGUUUUGGAAUUAAAUAUGGAGCGGUGGAAUGUGUAGAUAUAUUUAAGAACACCAGAGGCGAAGGCGAAAACUUAGGCCAUUAUUGACGCUUAGGCUUGAAAGUGUGGGUAGCAAAUGGGAUUAGAUACCCCAGUAGUCCACACCGUAAACGAUGGGUAUUAGAUGUCGGGAUUUGAGUUUCGGCGUUGUAGCUUACGUGUUAAAUACCCCGCCUGGGUAGUACAUAUGCAAAUAUGAAACUCAAAGGAAUUGACGGGGACCUGAACAAGUGGUGGAACAUGUUGCUUAAUUCGAUAAUACACGAAAAACCUUACCAAGGUUUGACAUCCUUUGCAAAGCUAUAGAAAUAUGGUGGAGGUUAUCAGAGUGACAGGUGGUGCAUGGUUGUCGUCAGCUCGUGUCAUGAGAUGUUUGGUUAAGUCCCGCAACGAGCGCAACCCUACUCUUUAGUUGCUUGUCUAAAGAGACUGAACAGUAAUGUAUAGGAAGGAUGGGAUCACGUCAAAUCAUCAUGCCCCUUAUGCUUGGGCCGCAAACGUG